rnacentral:rRNA from 1 species
AUUGAACGCUGGCGGCAUGCCUAACACAUGCAAGUCGAACGGGGCAGCAAUGCCUAGUGGCGGACGGGUGAGGAAUACGUAGGAAUCUGCCCUUAAGUGGGGGAUAACCAGGGGAAACCCUGACUAAUACCGCAUGAUCUCUUCGGAGCAAAGAGGGGGACCGCAAGGCCUCUCGCUUCUGGAUGAGCCUACUUCUGAUUAGCUAGUUGGUAGGGUAAAGGCCCACCAAGGCAACGAUGGGGAACUGGUCUGAGAGGAUGAUCAGUCACACUGGAACUGAGAAACGGUCCAGACUCCUACGGGAGGCAGCAGUAGGGAAUAUUGCACAAUGGGGGAAACCCUGAUGCAGCAACGCCGCGUGAGUGAAGAAGGCCCUUGGGUUGUAAAGCUCUUUAGCGUGGGAAGAAGGUAGAUAUGGUGAAUAAUCAUGUUUGCUGACGGUACCACGAGAAUAAGCACCGGCUAAUUUCGUGCCAGCCGCCGCCGUAAAAC